CGAAGUGCGCAUUUGAAGUGCGAAUGCGUCACAGUGGCGCGACGAAGACUGACGAGUUUCGAAAGCAACUUCAAAUGCGCCCUUCAUUUCCCAUGAAAAUUAAGUGUACAUCUAAUGGACACUUCGCACCCUUCCAUAUCCCAGAAUCACUUGCGUGCAUAUGACGAAUGUGUUUAUAUUCAGAGGCAGGUGAGAGUUCUGUGGAGGACUUCACAUUGAAAUGCAUGGUUUAUUUGUGAAGUGUCCUGAGACAGGUGAGGGAGCAAGUGGACAGGGAGGACAUCAAACUCAAACAAAUACAUUCUUCACUAGCCAAGAGAAAACCGUGGG